rnacentral:rRNA from 1 species
GUCGUCCUUGGUCUUCCCCACCUCCGAUCGAAAGUUGUGAUUUUUGAUUGAUUUCCGGGCGGAAGACAUGAUCCCCAACUCCGUCGACACCUUCCUCUGAUCUGUCCCCGGAUCCAGCCAACUCCCCCACCAAAAGAAGCCAAACUAUGGUGCGCCGCCGCCCGUCGCCGCCGUCUUCCUCCUCCGCCUCCUCGUCGCCGAUGCUCCACAAGAACCUCCGCGCGCUCGGCCCCGGCCUCAAUCCGUUCGCCCCCUUCGGCAUGGGCAACUACUCCCGCUAAUCUCCCCCUCCCCCCAUCUCCUCUGCUUCUGAAAUUCUAGCUUUUUCUCCCCGGAUCCGAUUCGCUUCUCCCCCCUUCUCGUUCUUGAUUUGAUUUGAUUGGAUUGGAUUGCUCCCCUCUCUGCUUUCUUGGUUUGGUUUGGAUCUGCUUGCAAGAUUCUUAGGCAAGGGGCCACCAUGGUGCAGCUCCGCAGCUCGCUCAGCAUGACCCGGGCGCGCGCCCGCGCCGGCGACUCGGACGACGCCGACGACCGCGGAUGGAACCAGCUCCACGUCGCCGCCCGCAAGGGCAACCUCAAGGAGGUGAGACGUCUCCUGAAUGAAGGGAUGGAUGUCAAUGCACCCGCAUGGGGACCAAAGUCUCCUGGCGCUACUCCGCUGCACCUUGCUGCUCAGGGCGGGCAUGUGAAAAUCAUGGAUGAACUGCUGGAGCGCGGUGCCAAUAUUGAUGCCCGAACAAAAGGAGCUUGUGGCUGGACUCCCCUGCACAUUGCUGCCAAGGAAAGAAACAAGAGGGUGGUCAGGUUCCUUGUCGAGAACGGCGCAUUCCUGCCCCCUGACCUGAACGACCACAGGUUCAACCCACCCCUCCACUACUGCUCUGGGCUGGAGUGGGCGUACGAGAUGAAGCGCAUGCAGGACGAGAGCGACUCAGGCGGCGAGGCUUCCUUCAGCUCGUCCAACUAGUGAAAAGUGAUCUAUCCGCAGGAGGAGAUUCUGCUGAUCUCUGGGUUUUGAGUGCUUGUUUUUAAUUAUGAAAUCAACCCUUCCUAGCUUAUGUGCCGAGCCUGCGAGGAGCUACGUCCAAGUGAAAGCAGGCUGAUGCUGGUAUUGUAUGUGUAUACAAGAAUAAACACGGUGCCGUCACGAGGUCCUGGAGUUGCUGCUGCACUGCCCUGUAGUUUACCUGGUAUAUUUUGGUACAUCGGUGACCAGGCUGCAGUGAUCUCAGAUUGGAAUAUCCGUCUCUAUGAAGGAACAUCCUUCGUAAACAUACGUUGUCGAACCUUUGCUUUGUUUGCCGGACAAGUAUUGUACAUCUAAUUGGUUUGUUUGGAACACGUGUUUUUUAUUGUUUGAAGCUAUUGUUGUGUUUAUUUGGAAACUUGAUUUUGUCUUUUUGACCUAAGUUUCUCUAAACUGGCCUACUGUGUGGCAAUUCUCUGAUUUCAUAUCUUGAUAUGCACAUGCUCAACCCAUUGUGUGCAGCCAAGAAGUUUCAUUGUUGUUGCAGAAAACUGGCAGAGUUCAAGAUUGAUAUCUAAGCUGGGGUAAAGUUAAGCAACGAUCAAUUAAAUAUGUAUCAUUGUGGACAUAUACAUACUAUACUGACAAGAAAGUGAUCGUUUGUGGUCAUCCCUAGUGUGUAUCGUUGUGGACAUACAUACUAUAAACUCCAUCAAUUAUGUAUAACUUUCUCUUGACCACUUAAUAUCAAGGUUGGGGAAGUUUGUCAACGAGGUGCGAACUUGAAGGGUCACCUCAACCACUACAGACUUGGUUCUACGAGAAAUUCCACAUUGAUCGUACCAUUUUCUAUUUUCAACAUGACAAGCCGCUUAUCCUAGAUUGUAACGAAGCAAAAGUGGGCAAGGUUGACAAAAUAAUCUCAGAGAACUACGAAUGAGAUUGAGAGAUGGUUGAGGACCUCAUGCGACCUUGGAAGACAUUGCCUAAGGUUUCUCAUCAGCCUUCGAAGAUGUUUUUUAUGUUAAAACUAGUUCUUUCUAAAUACCUUUUUUUUAAACUGGUUCUAAUUUUUCUUAACUUGUAGCUUGAUGGGACACUAGCCUGCCUAGUGGCCUAGAUGAUAGAGAUGAAAGUAAUUAUAUCUCCGCAACAUUCGGAGAUGUCUCCACAACUAGAUGGAGUAGUACGGUACCAGAAGAAAACCAACAUGCAUUUGGAGGAUCUAAUUUCUCAAUUCAACGUAAGCAUUUGUUUUUAUUAUAAUUCAUUCUUCCAAAUAAGUGCAUGACUAACAUCUUUAUUAAAAGGACCAUCGAUUUGGCGUAUGACACAACAACUUUGAUGCGGCAAAGAGUUAACAAAGAAAUCAAGCUAUUUAUGUCACAAAAUUUGUAACUUAUCUCUUCAUGUCACGAAAUGUAUGCUGACCAUUUAUCUUUUGAACGUACAAAUUAGAGAACUUCAAAAAAUGUAGCCGCUUCCCUAGCAAGAAUGGUAUGAAGUUCCAUAUUGCUUGCAUGUUUUUCUUUCCCAACCAUACAACUAACUUCCGUUCAUCGGUAAAAUAAAUAUCCAUGGACCACCAAAGGGCAAAACUGAGAGGAUGUUGUGUAAUCAAUUGGGAACUGUUUCAGGUAUGGCAACAAGACUUACCGGCAGAAUGUGAGGUCAGCAUGCACACGUCUCGUAAAUUUGUUGACCUCAGAUUCUGCUGGUAAGUUUUUACUGUCAUCACACGUGAAACGCUUCCCAAUUGAUUCCACAGCGUCGUGUCUGUCAGUUCUCCCCGGUCCAUAGAUGUUUGAUUUACCUUCUGUAAAGAUGGACACAAGUUAGCUCUUGGUUGAAAAAAGAAUGUGCUAGCAAUAUGGAACUUCAUACCUCAAAUUUUGUUGCUAAGUUUUUGCUGGGGUGCUGUAGACACACUUUGGAACUUCAUUUGUAGAAGCGGCUACAUUUUUUGAGGUUUCUAGUUUGCACGUUCAAAAGAUAAGUGAUCAGCAUACAUUUUGGGACAAGAACAGGAAAAUUAUAAAUUUUAUGACAUGAUUACGUUGAUUUCUUUGUCAACUCUCUUUCCCGCAUCAAAGUCUGGUUGUGUCGUAUGCCAAAUUGAUGAUCUUUAUAAUAAAAAGAUGUUAGUCAUGCACUUAUUUCAAAGGAUGAAUUACAAAAAAACAAAUGCGUACGUCCAAGCGCACGAUGAUUUCCUUCUAGCGUCAUACUAUUCUGCCAGUUGUGUAGACGUCAACGAAUGUUGCUGAGACAUAAUUGCUUUCAUCUCUGCCAUAUGGGCGACUAGGCGGCCUAGUGUCCCAUUGAGCUACAAGUGAAGAUGAAUUAUAACUGUUAUUUUAAAAAAAAUAUUUAGAAAGAAUUAGUUUCGGCCUAAAAAACAUUACUGGCUAGCAUCAUUCUACAAGUUAUAUAACACGUACCUCCAUAGUUGACUUUGAAGAUAGAUGAGAAACCUUUGGCGGUGCCUUCAAGGUCGCAUGAGGGGAAGGGAGAUCCUGUCUAGUUUUUCUCGUGUGUUCGAACCAGUCUCUAUGCAUUGCAUUUCACCACUUCACAGGGGUAAGACUUGGUUCCUACAAUCUCUCCCAGACUCUACCUUGUGGGAGCUUAUAUGCACUUGGUCUGUCCUUUUGAGGGUCUGCCCUUUUGAGGAUUUGGUGAUGGGCAUAGAAAAACAUCACCUAUGGAUGAGCUGCCUUGGCUAAAGCCUUAGCCUAAGCUGAAAGCUACUCUUCCUAAUGGAUGAGUCCUCCUUUUGUGAAACAUGUUCUUGCUGGCCUUUGCUUGUACUAACUAAUGCAUCUAUUCUUUGCCCCCAUCAAAGUUUAUUGGGUAUUACAUCCUCUGUAACAAAAUGUAUGACGUUUUUUAUGCCCUAUGCAAAACCAAAAAAACGCCUUACAUUUUGGUACAUAUAAGUUGAUAUUGUUCUUCAGGUUGAUCAAGCGUAAAAUAGACGUAGGGACUAACUAAAUGGCCCGUAUAUGGAUGGAAGGAAGGAGUCUGACGAAAGCUUAAUUAGCAUGUGGAAGUCUGAACAAGAAUUCUGUCCUAAGUUCUCCCGUUGUAAAACAUGUUCUUCCUGGCCUCUACUUGUCCUCCCCUGACAAACUCCCGCCUCCCC